GAGUUUGAUCAUGGCUCAGAUUGAACGCUGGCGGCAUGCCUUACACAUGCAAGUCGAACGGCAGCACGGGAGCUUGCUCCUGGUGGCGAGUGGCGAACGGGUGAGUAAUGCAUCGGAACGUAUCCUGGAGUGGGGGAUAACGUAGCGAAAGUUACGCUAAUACCGCAUAUUCUGUGAGCAGGAAAGCGGGGGACCUUCGGGCCUCGCGCUCUUGGAGCGGCCAAUGUCGGAUUAGCUAGUUGGUGAGGUAAAGGCUCACCAAGGCGACGAUCCGUAGCAGGUCUGAGAGGAUGAUCUGCCACACUGGAACUGAGACACGGUCCAGACUCCUACGGGAGGCAGCAGUGGGAAUUUUGGACAAUGGGGGCAACCCUGAUCCAGCCAUGCCGCGUGAGUGAAGAAGGCCUCGGUUGUAAGUAC
rnacentral:rRNA from 1 species